rnacentral:rRNA from 1 species
AUGAACGCUAGCUACAGGCUUAACACAUGCAAGUCGAGGGGCAGCAUGGUCUUAGCUUGCUAAGGCCGAUGGCGACCGGCGCACGGGUGAGUAACACGUAUCCAACCUGCCGUCUACUCUUGGAUAGCCUUCUGAAAGGAAGAUUAAUACAAGAUGGCAUCAUGAGUCCGCAUGUUCACAUGAUUAAAGGUAUUCCGGUAGACGAUGGGGAUGCGUUCCAUUAGAUAGUAGGCGGGGUAACGGCCCACCUAGUCUUCGAUGGAUAGGGGUUCUGAGAGGAAGGUCCCCCACAUUGGAACUGAGACACGGUCCAAACUCCUACGGGAGGCAGCAGUGAGGAAUAUUGGUCAAUGGGCGAGAGCCUGAACCAGCCAAGUAGCGUGAAGGAUGACUGCCCUAUGGGUUGUAAACUUCUUUUAUAAAGGAAUAAAGUCGGGUAUGGAUACCCGUUUGCAUGUACUUUAUGAAUAAGGAUCGGCUAACUCCGUGCCAGCAGCCGCGGUAAUACGGAGGAUCCGAGCGUUAUCCGGAUUUAUUGGGUUUAAAGGGAGCGUAGAUGGAUGUUUAAGUCAGUUGUGAAAGUUUGCGGCUCAACCGUAAAAUUGCAGUUGAUACUGGAUAUCUUGAGUGCAGUUGAGGCAGGCGGAAUUCGUGGUGUAGCGGUGAAAUGCUUAGAUAUCACGAAGAACUCCGAUUGCGAAGGCAGCCUGCUAAGCUGCAACUGACAUUGAGGCUCGAAAGUGUGGGUAUCAAACAGGAUUAGAUACCCUGGUAGUCCACACGGUAAACGAUGAAUACUCGCUGUUGCGAUAUACUGCAAGCGGCCAAGCGAAAGCGUUAAGUAUUCCACCUGGGGAGUACGCCGGCAACGGUGAAACUCAAAGGAAUUGACGGGGGCCCGCACAAGCGGAGGAACAUGUGGUUUAAUUCGAUGAUACGCGAGGAACCUUACCCGGGCUUAAAUUGCAGAUGAAUUACGGUGAAAGCCGUAAGCCGCAAGGCAUCUGUGAAGGUGCUGCAUGGUUGUCGUCAGCUCGUGCCGUGAGGUGUCGGCUUAAGUGCCAUAACGAGCGCAACCCUUGUUGUCAGUUACUAACAGGUUCCGCUGAGGACUCUGACAAGACUGCCAUCGUAAGAUGUGAGGAAGGUGGGGAUGACGUCAAAUCAGCACGGCCCUUACGUCCGGGGCUACACACGUGUUACAAUGGGGGGUACAGAGGGCCGCUACCACGCGAGUGGAUGCCAAUCCCCAAAACCUCUCUCAGUUCGGACUGGAGUCUGCAACCCGACUCCACGAAGCUGGAUUCGCUAGUAAUCGCGCAUCAGCCACGGCGCGGUGAAUACGUUCCCGGGCCUUGUACACACCGCCCGUCAAGCCAUGGGAGCCGGGGGUACCUGAAGUGCGUAACCGCGAGGAGCGCCCUAGGGUAAAACUGGUGACUGGGGCU